UGUACCUGUAGUUUCUUAUGCUGGGAUAUUAAAAUGAUGGGUUCUAUAUUAGGUUAAGAUUAAGAACCCACUUCAGAUAUAUGGUUAAAGUACUCCUUAUUGUACAAUCCUCACUUAUUAAGCUAGCUUUUAAAAUUGAGUUAGGUCAAAUUCGUUCUUAAUUCUAAUAAAUUGAUUUUUACGUAACAUAAGCUGAUUGAUUAUUUUCUUUGUUAUGCUUUAUCAAUAAUUAGUUUAUAAGGAACCUAGCUCUGAGAAAAGUAGCAGUAGCUUUGAGUUUAAUCAUUCAGCGUCUAAUCAAGCAAUUUUUUUUUCCAUGGUUGAAAUAUUAUAUCCGAAGAUCAAGACAUGUAUGAUACUGAUUUAGUAUUACUGUAAUAUAACCAUUUAGGUAUAUUUUUGGAUGGAGUUUGGAGGGAAAAGGUGACAGUGAUGAAUGACCUGAAUAUACAUUAUUUUCUAUGAUGAAUUUCAAAAUAAAGUUCUCUUAUUUGCCCAAUGAAAAAGAAAGCAGAAAUUUUACUUUCUGCAUUGAAAGAAAACUAAAUGUAUAAUAUGCUGACAUCAUCUGAAUUCCUACAACUCACUUCUCAAGUUUGCUAUUUUUCAGGCAAGUGGUCAUUAUAUUUCACUCACAAAUUUCAGAAGCAUUUUCAAAAUUUGAUAUUAGCACUCCUCAAGCACAGAAUAGGUUAUAUCGAGAUGUCAAACAUAUUCUCCAAUGCAUACGGUCAUUGCCAUUGGGUGAUUUGAGUAAAUCUGAUACCCCAAACUGGGGUCAGCUGGAUGAAUUCUUGGUGAAAAGAUUUGGAAAUGAUGCUGUUCAGUAAACUAUAUUGUAAAGUAGCAACUCAAUUGCUUCCGUGUGAAGGCUAACAUACUGUGGAAGAUAUGGGGAUGAUUUAAACCUUCUUCACUCUGCAUUUUUGUGUAACACUAAAUUGAGGCCUUUGGUUGGUCUAUGGGUAUACAAGGUAAUGUAUCAUUUCUGAGCAUUGUGCAGCCGUGGUUGGUCAUUUAACAAGUUUUGUAGCAGUCGAUGUUGAUAUUCAGAAUUCUUGGUUUGUCUCCUUAAUUGUAAUGUUAAGUUGAAAUAGAUAUGAUUUAGUGAAUGAAUUAAGUUUUUCCCUCACCCCCAAUCUUUCCCGUCGCUUCUUCACCCAUGGAUAUGUACACAAUUCCAGAAAUCUAUAGCGAUAUUACCAAUUUGUGUCCUUUA